UACGAAGGGGGCUAGCGUUGCUCGGAAUCACUGGGCGUAAAGGGUGCGUAGGCGGGUCUUUAAGUUAGGGGUGAAAUCCUGGAGCUCAACUCCAGAACUGCCUUUGAUACUGAGGAUCUUGAGUAUGGGAGAGGUGAGUGGAACUGCGAGUGUAGAGGUGAAAUUCGUAGAUAUUCGCAAGAACACCAGUGGCGAAGGCGGCUAACUGGUCCGGUUCUGACGCUGAGGCGCGAAAGCGUGGGGAGCAAACAGG
rnacentral:rRNA from 1 species